GACGAACGCUGGCGGCGUGCUUAAUACAUGCAAGUCAACUUGACUUUAGAUAGCAAUAUCGAAAAGUAGGGUGGCGCACGGGUGCGUAACGCGUAGGUAAUCUGCCCUGAGGUCUGACAUAACCCGUCGAAAGGCGGGCUAACAUCAGAUGAUAUAUAAUCACGACAUCGUGGAAAUAUCAAAUCUUCGGUGCCUUGGGAUGAGCCUGCGUCUGAUUAGGUAGUUGGCGGAGUAAUAGCCCACCAAGCCUACGAUCAGUAGCUGGUCUGAGAGGAUGAUCAGCCACACUGGAACUGAGACACGGUCCAGACUCCUACGGGAGGCAGCAGUAAGGAAUAUUGCUCAAUGGGGGAAACCCUGAAGCAGCAACGCCGCGUGAAGGAUGAAGUACUUUUGUAUGUAAACUUCUGUAAGAUGGGAAAAAUAUUCUCCUCGGGAGAAUUGAUUGUACCAUCAGAGUAAGCCCCGGCUAACUACGUGCCAG
rnacentral:rRNA from 1 species